CCGCUACUGCUUCUUUUGAAUAUAAUAGAAAUGAGAAUCUCUGGUGAGAGGGAAGGCUAAGUUUGCUAACUCCAAAAAUUCAAUGUCCAUUUCUUCCAUUCUACAUAUAUAGGAUCCUUUGAUAAAUCGAAAUCUUAAUUUUACAAUAAAAUUUUAAUUUCACCCUCUAUUUUUAGAUUGGUUGAUUGUAAUUUUUAACUAACAAAAUUACACCUGGUCAACAAUUUUAAGUUAUCCACACCACACGAGUGGCAGUAUACAAUUUUACAAGAGAAAGAUUCCAUUGUCUUAACAAAUGUUGUUUUGUGUUCUGUCGGAUUCACUUGGUUACUUGCUCAGUAUUUGUUAAUAAUGGAAAAAAUAAUUGAAAUCAGAAAAUUAUACAUAUAAAAUGGAAGUAAGUUAAGGGAUUUGAGCAAGAAGUUAAGUGAAGAUGGAAGGGUGGAAGGGCUUCCUAUGCUUCAAGCAGACAUUUCUCUUCUCAGCAAAGUGGAUGCUUUUUAAGCUGACUUCAAGUUUAAGACCCAAAGCAAGAGUGACGAAUCAAGGGCUCAUGGGUCUUUACAAGGACUUGGAAUCUUGUGGGGAAUAUAGAGAUAUACAGGUUAUGUAAUAUGUGGGAUAUGAUUCACUCUUCUCCAAGUGAUUAUAGUACUAGAAGGAAGAGACCUUACAGGAGUUUCUGUUUCAGGCCAGCAUAAAUAAUAUUAUUCCUUUUGAGAUGAGCAAAAAAAAAAAAGCAUCCCAGAUUCUGAUGUAUAUAGCAGCUGCAGCAGAGAAAAAAGAGAAUUUUGCUUGAUUUUGUUUCUUGUCCAAAAGAAAUCUCUCAGGUUCAUAUCUUUCAUCACAUCAUUUUAGGAAAGUUUAUUUUGUCUGAUUUGUUUCUUGUCCAAAUGAGUUCUCACGGUAUGUCUGUCAUCCAAAUGCCUUAUAUUCACAUUAUGCUAGAAAGUCAGAACUCAAAAUAAAAGUUGGAAGUUCUACUCAUUUUAUUUUAACAAAAAAGCUACAAGCUUUUUAUUACAACAUUUAUAGUCACCCUACGUACAGCAAUGGAAGUUCAUAAGCAUUUAUACAAUAAUAAAGCUCCUAAAAGUUUCAAUAGUAAA